UGAAAAGCAAUGAAGAGGACACGAGUGAUUGUUCAGGUGCACAGAGAGGGAAGGAUGCUGCGAACUUCCUGACCGUGAGCAAUCGCCCACCGCCUCGGAGUUUCAGCGGUGAAUAUCGAGUAGCCGCUGACGGCAGCGCCGUUAUUGGAUUAAGUGCCGCAGUCUUUUUGAUUGCGGAAGCAAGGGUGGAACCACGAGCAGAAACACUCGUCUCUUAU
rnacentral:ncRNA from 1 species